rnacentral:rRNA from 1 species
GACCUGAGUUCAGACGAGACUACCCGCCGAACUUAAGCAUAUCAAUAAGCGGAGGAAAAGAAACUAACUAGGAUUCCCUUAGUAACGGCGAGUGAAACGGGAUAAGCCCAACUUGAAAAUCUGCAGGCUUUGUCUGCCGAAUUGUAGUCUAUAGAAGCAACCUCUGAGACGAGCCUGGAUUAAGUUCCCUGGAAGGGGACGUCAGAGAGGGUGAGAACCCCGUCAUCUAUGGCUUUAGUCUCUUCACGAGAUGCUUUCGCAGAGUCGGGUUGGUUGAGAAUCCAGCCCUAAUUGGGAGGUACAUCCCUUCUAAGGCUAAAUACCGGUAAGAGACCGAUAGCGAACAAGUACCGCGAGGGAAAGAUGAAAAGACCUUUGAAAAGAGAGUUAAAAAGUGCUUGAAAUUGUUGAGGGGGAAGUGUAUUAGAGGCGUGUGUGCUCCUAGGCUGUAUGUAGACUCUAACCGGUCUGCCCCUCAGUGCUAGGAGCUGGUCAGCAUGGAUUAACUUAGUGGGACAAAAGUAGGGAUUGCUACCCUGCCGAUGCCACUUCGUUGAUUGAGGAUUAAGAGCGCUUUGCCUUCGGAGCUGCGUUCUCAUGAUGCUGGCAGAAGCACCUAAUACAGCCCGUCUGGAAACACGGACCAAGGAGUCUAACAUGUAUGCGAGUUGGUGGGUGGAAAACCCAUGAAGCGUAAGGAAACUAACUGGUGGGAUGGCCUGUGCCUGCACCAUCGACCGACCAUGAUCUUCUGUGAAAGGUUUGAGUACGAGCAUACCUGUUGGGACCCGAAAGAUGGUGAACUAUGCCUGAGCAGGGCGAAGCCAGAGGAAACUCUGGUGGAGGCUCGUAGAUGUGCUGACGUGCAAAUCGCUUUUCGGACUUGGGUAUAGGGGCGAAAGACUAAUCGAACCAUCUAGUAGCUGGUUCCCUCCGAAGUUUCCCCCAGGAUAGCUGGAGCUCGAACAGUUUUAUCAGGUAAAGCGAAUGAUUAGAAGAUUAGGGGAUGAAACAUCCUCGUCUUAUUCUCAAACUUUAAAUAGGUAAGAUGUCUGAAUUGCUUAAUUGAAUUCAGGCGAUCAAUGUGAGUUCCAAGUGGGCCAUUUUUGGUAAGCAGAACUGGCGAUGCGGGAUAAACCGAAAGCUGAGUUAAAGUGCCCAACUGCACGCUAACCUAGAUCCCACAAAGGGUGUUGAUUGAUAUGGACAGCAGGACGGUGGUCAUGGAAGUCGAAAUCCGCUAAGGAGUGUGUAACAACUCACCUGCCGAAUCAAUUAGCCCCGAAAAUGGAUGGCGCCUAAGCGUGCGACUUAUACUCAG